GGGUCAGUAGGUUGGUCGUGCCACCGGUACGUACUGGUCUCACGGAUUCCUCCUUCCUGAAGAACCGUAACGCCAUUAAUUUGGUGUUGCGGGGAAACAGGACUGUUACUUUGAAAAAAUUAGAGUGUUUAAAGCAGGCUAACGCUUGAAUACAUUAGCAUGGAAUAAUGAAAUAGGACGAUCGAUCCUAUUUUGUUGGUUUCUAGGAUUGACGUA
rnacentral:rRNA from 1 species